rnacentral:rRNA from 1 species
AACGAACGCUGGCGGCAGGCUUAACACAUGCAAGUCGAACGCCCCGCAAGGGGAGUGGCAGACGGGUGAGUAACGCGUGGGAACAUACCCUUUUCUACGGAAUAGCUCUGGGAAACUGGAAUUAAUACCGUAUACGCCCUACGGGGGAAAGAUUUAUCGGGGAAGGAUUGGCCCGCGGUGGAUUAGCUAGUUGGCGGGGUAAAGGACUACCAAGGCGACGAUCCAUAGCUGGUAUGAGAGGAUGAACAGCCACAUGAGGACUGAGACACGGCCCAAACGGCAACGGGAGGCCGCAGUGGAGAAUAUUGGACGAUGGCGAAAGCCUGAACCAGUCAUGCCGCGUGAGUGAUGAAGGCCUUAGGGUUGCAAAGCUCUUUCACCGAUGAAGAUAAUGACGGUAGUCGGAGAAGAAGCCCCGGCUAACUUCGUGCCAGCCGCCGCCGUAACAC